UCUUCAAAAAACUAAAAAUAGAAAUACCAUUGACCCAGUAAUUCCAUUCUCAAAGAAAAUGAGAUCCCUGAUUCAAAAAGACAUAUGCACCCCUAUGUUUAUCACAGCACUAUUUACAAUAGCCAGGAUAUGGAAGCAACCUAAGUGUCCAUCAAUAGAUGAAUGAAGAAGAUGUGGUACAUAUACACAAUGGAAUAUUAUUCAGCCAUAAAAGGAAAAGAAAUCCUGCCAUUUGCAACAACACAGAUGGAACUAGAUGGUAUUAUGCUCAGUGAAAUAAGCCAGGCAGAGAAAGACAAACACCAAAUGAUUUCACUCAUUUGUGGAGUGUAACCACAAAGCAAAACAGGGAAAAAUAUAACAGUAGACUCAUAGACACCAAGAAGGGACUAGUGGUUACCAAAGGGGAGGGAUUGGGGUGGGGGAAGCAGAAAGGGAUUAAGGGGCACAAUAAUUCGCAAUUACAAUACAGUAGGGCACAGAGAUGGUAGUGCCGCACGGAGAAUAAAUUAAUGACUCAAUAUAACAUCUUACUACAUUGAUAGACAGUGACCACAGUGGAGGAGGUGAGGACUUGAUAAUAUGGGUGAAUAUUGAACCUCUGUGCUGUGUACUUGAAACCAUCAUAAGAUUGUAUAUCAACGAUACUUUAAUUUUUAAAAAAUCACUGGUUCCUAUACACAGCCCACAUGGCCCCCAUUAGGCUUCCAUGUUUAUUUACAUUAGGACAGUAUUUUCAGGCAAUAGGAGCCAUUGUAGGCUCUUCCACUUCUGCUGAGCUCAGUUGAAGACUUAUGUUAUCAUGAGGCAAGCAAAGGGUUAAAGUUCUGGGCCCCUCGGGUUGAGCCACUUUGGAUUCUCUCUCUUGUGCCUGUUAGACCACUGGCAUAAGACUUCAACAGAUUGGAAGAUAUGCCAACGUGAAGACCUAGAAAGUGGCCUCGAAUGCUCCUCUCCAGGAACUGCGACAAAUUCUCAACUUUUCACUGGACUUUUCAAAGUAGGAAAUACAGAGGGUAACCAUUGCACAUCACCUUCCAGAGGUCCAAGGACCUUAAACUCUUUGACUAGGACAGAGAAAAUAAGUCUUUCAUGGGGGCCAAAACCUCUGGGAUGUGGAAAAUAACAUGUUAAACUAUUUUGUACAAAUUACAGAAGUUAUACUCAAGAGGCACACAGACUAUUCCUAAUAUACAUGCUCUAAAAUGUCCCUGAGAGUUAGAUUCCUACAAAUUAGAUUUUCCUACCUUAGUUUCCAGGUGGGAUAAAAGAAUGAAGGUUGAAAAGAUAGUCAUCCCCUGUACACUUUCACCUCCUACUUAGAACAGAACUUAUUCUAGUUCCCCAUGGCUUCUGUCUCACUUGCUAAGCAUCUAGUACUUAAGAUCAGAUUCCAUUUUGGGGGCUCUGUAGGAAAGGCAGUGGCCCUCAGGAGAAAACCUGUGAACACAGCCAUAUGUAAAAGCAGGCCAGACACAAGAAGUCACUGGAUAUGGAAGACUUGGAAAGGUAAGAUUGUUGUCGCUCCAGCUGCUGGGAGUGCUGUCCACAGCCUCUAGCUGUCACCUCCUUGGAGUUUGUCUCUGCUACAAGGGCAUGCCCUUCCCUGAGCAACCAACAUCCCAUUAUAGAGCGCAGAGGGCUACAAAGGCCGGCCACUUCAGGCCACGAUGGAACAGUUCUGAUGAGCCACAUACAUGUCGGUGCUCCUGGGGCCUGGCCGAGGCUCCUGUUGUGCCUAUACUAUAGUUAACAGCAACUGCUUCCCAUUCCUUCUUUCCCAUCCCUUUUAUAGGAUUUCAUUGCUCAUUUCUCAUGCUAAACUCCCCCUCAACAUCUAAUUCUAAAAAGCCCAGCCUGUUACACUAGGCAAAAGGGGCUUGGAGGAGCAGGAUUCCACUCUUUCUUGCCCAGGAUGCCUAACCAUCAUUAUGACCGAGUUCUGAGUACUAACCUUCUCAAAUUGAAGAGAUUGGUAUAGUUCUGGCAUUUCUAGGAUAUGUUGUGGUGUCCACAUCCCUCUAGUUUCUAGUUACAUGCAAACUCUUAUAGCUCUUUAUGGACCUAGAUUUCAAGAAUUUUAUCCUUUGGUGUGUUUUUCUUGCCUCAUGCUUGCUCUUCACAUGGAGAUUCUGUGUCUCCCAACCCGUCCACUUCAAACACAGAACUGUCUAAACACUGAAAUUAUAUCUUCUUCCUAAAGUUAGGGAAGAGCACCACCCACUAAGGACUAUCAAUGGUCUGGCUAACGUUCAAGACCUGGCUUCACAGGUUCUGUAAUUCCAGGGAGGAUCCCAACAUGGUGUCACCACUAGCAGAGGGAGGUUACCAGACAUCAUAUUUCCAGCAGUGGAUUGUUCAGAGAAAUCAAUCUCUGUAUUGCUAAAUCUUCCAAGACACUUAAAACAUGUAGAUAUGUUUUAUUAUGUAAAUUUAAGGGUAUCUAUAAAAUAUGCUAGACCAAGGCAGAGAAUUGGGUUUUAUACCUAGUCCAACACCAGGCUGAAUUACCUGAAGAUGUUAACCUGCAUCUUCCAGAUGUGGAACAGACCAUAAAAAUCAUGUAGGAUUCAAUAAGAACUGCCUCAACUAACAGAGUACUCCAGUGUUCCACCUUAUGAUUUCCCACCUUCUCUGAAGAGCCAAAAAUUCAAAAACUUUUUGAACCAAAGUUCAAUAGAUUCCUUGCAAUCUCAACUCAUCAUCUGUAAUGUUACAAUGAUUGGCAAAAUGUCCCUAGCCAAAUUACUAUGCAAACUGAAAACACACUAAAGUGAACCUGUGGGUGCACAACAGCAAAGGUAGGUGCACACAGGGGCAAGGGCAAAUGGCAAGAGCAGCAGUAUUGUUUCCCACAGUCAAUACUUCAUGUUCACAUUAUUUACUGUGCUUUUUUUCCCCACAUGAGAAAAAUUAGAUGGACCCUAGAGGCCUAGAAAAGCUCCUGUGUUCCAGGAAGAGUUGUGUGUGAUACAAUAUCCUGACAGGUGAAUCCGUAGAAUACACACUUAGCCGUGCACUUACUUUCCUGACAACCCAUUUUCUCUAUGCACAGCAGAAAAACAUGAAAGUUAGGUGUAAAAAAGGAACCACAUUAUGUCAAAGAUACUUCAAUUACAAAAAAAAGAAAAGAAAAAAUAAAAUGCCUUAAGUCAAAGCAAGGGAAGGGAAGGGAAAAGAAAAAAGAGGGAAGGAGGAAAACAGGGGAAAAGGGAGAAAGGGGGAAAAGGGGGAAAAUGGGAAAGAAAAGAAAAGGAAGCACGCUGCUCACGCAGAGGUACUUUUGAAAACAAGAUAACCUCCACUCUGUGACAAUCCACCCACCUAGGUGUGCGCCACUGGUGCAUGAUAACAGCUAUGGCUUGCCUCUCUGGGGCACUUUGUUUUAGCCUUCAGAGCCCAUUUCCCCACUGAGGUCCUCUUUGUUCUUUCUGCUAAACAGCCUGUUUUGCAUCAUCUACAAAGAACCAUUUUCUAUUUCAAUUAACUCAUUCUCUUUACCAAAAACUGCCUCCAUCCAAGGCUGUAUACCUGGGAUAUCCUGUGGGAUCAUCUAGUCAAUCAUCGAUGGUUCCUUCUACCCCAAAAGCCCAGCGGAGGCUCCAACCCCGCUGAGGUCUCAGGGAGCACAGAGCUCUGCUCUGUGAUCAAGUGCUGCCAUCUCUUGGACAAAGUGCUGAACUCAGUCCCAACCUGUCUACCCCUCAGGUCUCCCCUGGGCUUUGAUUCUCCCACCUACAUUUACAGCCCGGAUGGGAGAGGUACUCAGAAGCCCCCACAUCUUAUAAGGCAUAGAUCUUAGAUAACCAGGUAAAGCAAUAUCCCAUAGACCCAGAAACCUUGUCCUUUCUGGAUUUCACAAGUAUUUUGCUCACAGAGGAAGAGGGGCUUAAAUGGAGUAAUCUGGUUUUGACCCACUUAGGCAAAUAAGCCAGGUGAGGGUGUCCACAGAAGAGCUAUCCAGCUGUUAAGUGCAGACUUGCCUUCCCAUGGAAUCCCAGGCUUCAUUCGUUCUGCUAGCUGGCGGGUAAGGUUGGUUCCUGAGUGAGCACUUAAAGGACAGAUCUUCUCAUGGAAGGCUCCGCAGAGAUAUAGAGCAAAUCCUUCGUAAUCUGCAUGGGUAGGUAAGCUCUUGUUCCCCCUUGUUUCAUCUCAAAGACAAACAAAUGAAAAGCAACAUUUCUACCAAGGAACCAAAGAUCUUCUACCAAGACAUAACCAAGGCUAAGUCUUCAGCAUGACCUACAAUUAUUGAUCAGUUUGAAAUGGUUAUUUUAAAAAAUAUGUCUUAACCCCAGUCGUAACAUCAAUAAAAUAUCACUCUGUAACCUAAUCAGACUGGCUUGAUAGGGUAUCUCCCAUGCAAGACCAGGUACCCACUGCAGUUGAGUAGACCUAGACCCCUUCAUCAAUCAGAAUCAUAGGCCUGGCUUUGUUUUAGGAUUCUUCCAGAUAGAGUUACCAGCUCUGGAUACACUUUGGCACACUGACCUAAGAGACUGGAAAGGCAGGUAUGUUUUAUGUCUGCUAAGCCCAGAUAUGUUUAUCCUGACCUCUCAGAGAUCUUUUUACCCAUGGAAUUCUUGUCUAUUAGGAAAUGCAAAAGAUAAGCCUUCAUUCUUAACUAAAUAUACAGGGUGUCCUAGAAAAGGACUUUAGACCUUUAACAUAAUUUGUCACUGCUAAUUUCCAUCCCAUUCUGAAGGGCAAGAAUAAUGUCACGUCACUCCCAUCUUACCUGUUCACAAAAGGAACAGGGCUUGAAGUCAGGGUGAACUAACUAGACAAGAAAUCCAUCUCUACCACCACUCCCUGCCCCAAACUGAUGUCACUCAGUCCUCAUUCCCUAAACUACAUGGUACAUAGGACCUUCCAUCAGGCACAGUCAGUAUUGAUCAGGACCAGCGAUACCCCAGGGCCAGCUUUUAUCUUUCAACUUUUGCCAGUAAAUGAGAAUCAUGAUUUACCUUCAGUAACUUCCUCAUUGUCAAGUAAUCAGAAGAUCUCUCCCAAAACCUUCAUUGUAAGGGUCCAGAUACACCACAGGCAGGUAUUUUACUGAGCCACAUAUUUAGAUUCUUCAGGCAUUUAAGAAACUUUAUCAGCAUCACUAAUAGUAGUUUGGCAUUAGGGAAGAGGCAGAGUUAUGUUGGAAAUGGUAGCUAACCACUAAUUCUAAUACCAGAGCAUCUUCGCUGUGUUCUAUGGCUGUGGCAAUCUUGAAAUAUGCCUUUGGGACUGCCUGAUUAGGGUAAUUGACUGACAGAUCCAGCUGCCAUGCUACAAACCAAUAUUAAGUGGGAAGAAAAGUACAUAUACUGAUUCUUGGGUAGUGUUUAAUUGACGGGCCAUCUAGUCAGGGUCCAGAUGGAAAAGGAGUAAAAAAUUAAAGAGACUAGGAGCAAGCAUAUGGAUAUACAAGAUAUGCAUAUUUUCAUAUCUCAUGUUAACACCUACCACAAAGCAUCCACCCCAGAAGAGGCUUAGAACAACCAAAUGGAGAAAGUGGCUGCCAGCUGACAUUAGUCAGCCUUCAUCAGCAGACAGGCAAAUGAAUGAAUAGUUAUGGUUACAGACAUGGAGGCUACCUGGGUGCCCAACUACUUGGAAUGCCACACUCUAGAGCCAGUCUAGCUACUGCUGCCUCUCACUGCCCAAACUGUCAACAGAAAGGAGUGUUGAAUAUUCAUUACUGCACUAUUUGCAAAGAAGACCAACUUAUUACUAGCAAGUUGGCUACAUUGACUAUAUAAAGCCUUUCUCAUUUUAGAAAUCCAGAAAUUCAAGCUCCCAGGAACAGAUACCUAAUCUUGGAAUGGGAUGGUAUUUCCUGCUUGCAGAACCUCAAACAGUACCAUUCUGGGGGCUUCUACCAUGUGUCAGGGUCCAAGGGUUGCCAUUGAGGUCUUGGGGUGAUGUGAAGAGCAAAGAAAGAGGUGGGAGUCGUCAUGGAGGGUGCUCAGAAGAAGCCACUUUAUUCUGCAUAAAGCUGUACUUUUUAUACUGCUAUAGUGCUAACUCAAGGUUACCCAUAAGAAUUGAAGACACACAUGCGUGUGGCCUUCAUGGCCAGGUGUCUGGCCUUCAAGGCCCUUAUCUAGCUCCUUACUCAUGGGUACAACACACUGUAUUUUCAAGGUUUCUCAAGGCCAGACAUAUCCAGGAUGAAGCAGUGGACAGCUGUCCUUACAGAACAGUAGGAAAAGUGGGGGAGGCAGAUAGCCCUACCCUACACCACGUUCUACCCAUAGGCGAUCCCAGUCAGCAAAGCUCCUAUCCAACAGGCUACCUACAGAAAAGGCGCUGAGUGGGCCCCUGAUCAUGGGGUCCGUUGGUCAUAUCCCAGUAUAAUACCUAGCAGCUAGCUUUUCUUUCAACAGCAAGUUUAUAGACCUUUCAGAAAGCAUAGCAGAAGCACUAACAGCAUGCUCUAAGUUUAGGACACCUUCCUUCAGGAUAGUAUUUACAUUAGAGACAUCUACAUGGUGCUCUAUCCCUAGUAGCGAGACUCUUUGGGUCUAAGAAUCAGGAGGUGAAAGCUAAAACUGUCCCACAUUCCAUUACAUAAAAUGACAUACUGAGUCAUUUUAUGAGUCAUCACUGUUGGUGGGAUAACUGAGUGAUCAAAAAGAGGAGGUUGGGCUGCAUUUACAUGAUAAUGGGUAAAACUGUAUGUUGAACCCUGUGGUCCACUUGACUAUCCCCUUGUACCUCCUUUCUUGUCCCUAAGGAUGACCACCUAAGGGUCACACCACCAGGGAAGUUGAACUGCCGAUGAGGUGGAGAGUGCAGGCAGGACAAGAUGGGUAUCAGCUGUGACCCAAGAUCAACUAAGCAAUGGUUUCUGUGUCUCAUCCCACUUACACCCUUUGAGUUUUCUCUCUGGAAACGAGGCCCUUUGGGUACCAUGAAGCUGCUACUUUGUGGACCUGGGUAGAAAAAUAGAUCUGUCAGCAUAAAAGGCAGACUAUGGAGGCUGUUAGAAGUUCAUACUUCCCUCAGGCUGAUUCCAACCAACCACAGAAUACUGAUGAAGACCCAUUCCUGGGAGACUUUGGGACUCCUCUGAGAGGGGAUUUCUGGUCUGUUAAUCCCUGACCUUGCCAAGGCAUCUAGUAUUACGCCACAGCCUAAGACGCCUCUUACCCAGCCUUUCUUCCUUUUCUUUCCUGCACACAGACCUGUAUUGCAGUUGCUGGCUCUUCCAAAAUCCACCAGAUCUGUGACUUUCCUUCCUUCACAGGCCUUCCUCCCACCACAAAAGCUGGUGAACAUAAUUCCAUCUUAGCAUCUUAGAUGAUGUGAGCCAACAGUAUAAAAUUUUUGAGUCCCAACUGAAUAAGUAAGCUUAUAGAUGUCUGUAGAUGCUCCCAAGACUACUACUCCAUUCAGAGGGGAGAUGACCACCCAAGGCAGAAGAGGUGGCUAGUGCAGAUCCUGAAUUACCUCAACACCAUGGGUAUUAGCUGUACCCCAUAUUGAUGGGGUGCCCAAGGUACAUGGUUACCCCUUUCCAAAAGUUUUUCAAGUAUAAGGAUUAAGAAGCAUGAUAACUAUUUGCCAAGUUUCCACCUCAUAUCUGCUUGGGCCCACUUAUUCUAGGUUCUUCUGUCCCAGUCUUCUCAUGUUCUACCAUAUGCCAUUUUAUUCUAUUGACCCAAAUGAAACCCAUCACCAUCACAGGUACUGCUGUCUGCCUGUGACACUCAUCACCUUCAGCCUGCCCCAGGGAGAAACUGAAAACCAAGCAUCUGAAGCUUAGGUGGCCAUAGGAACCCAGACAGACCAAUGAGGCCAGGACUCAGACCUGCUUCCUGGGGAAAACCUAUGGCUAUCCUGGAUAUAGGCAUCUACCUGUGACUGCCAUCGACGUCCUCAUCCUGCCUCCAAACAAGAGGCAGAUCACCAAGCCUCUGAAAUUGGCUAGAGGAAUCCAGGCUGACUGGUGAGACCAGGACUCAGAUCUGUCUCUUUUGAUUGGAGGCUCACCGGAUCCAGGAUGACUGGCACCUGGGCUACUCUGUACUACCUUUGCUAGAAAAAGGGCUGGUGUUAUGAGCCAUAACAUUACUCAGCCAAUUCUUCUUUUACCAUAUUCCAUUUUAAUCUUCCUUUGCUUUAACAUUCAUCACUUAUGGACAGGAGUCAGAUAAGUAAUGGUAGCUUCCUAAUUUCUAGGCUUUUAUUAGUGUAUUGUAUUUAAACACAUUCUGUUUUCAAAGCACUACCUUGUCUUUAUUUUAAAAUGUCACUUAUAGUAGUAAACUUAUGGGCAGAAUGACCUUUGGCUAUGGGAUAAUUUUCAUUUUUAUUGGACUUGACAUAGCUUUUCCAGCUACCUUUAGGUGACCUAUAUAAAACCUCAUCCAUUUUGAAGAUUUUAGUCUGAAAAACCAUUAGUAUUUUUCAGUAUUUCUACUAACUACCUCCUCAAACUUAUUAACUAACAGGUUGGUUUUGACAUUGCAAAUUAUGAAAAAAACACACUUUCUCCUCAGUGAUGUUCCAUUAGGCUAAACCAUUAGGAAUCAGCUGGUUCCAAGUGACAGGAAAACCCCAACUCUGUUUUUAAAAACAGUACACAUUACUUCAUAGACAGUAAAGUCAAUGUAGUAUUGCCUCUAAGUGAGGCUGAUUCAGGAGGCUCAGUUUAAUAAAAAACCAGGAUCUCCUUGUCUCUAGUCUCCCCUUGUGGUAUCAGACUCAUCCUCAGUGUCUAAAAAGGGCCUCACCACUACCCUGAGAAGUUCCAGACUCCCCCAUGAGGGUAUAAAGUACUUUAUUAUCUUUCAAAUAUUUCUUCCAAAAGCUCCUCUCAAAAAGUUGUUGCUCCUUUCCAGCAGUAUCUCCUGGAUUUUAAUGCCUGAUUAGAUAGCACACCCAUCCCCGAACUAGUUACAAUAGUCAUGGGUGUGUGAGUAAGAGAACAGAAUAGCUUAAAAAAAGAUAAAGUCAGUCACGUAUGGCUGAGAAUGACCAAGAACAGAAGCAGCCUAUGGAAUGUAGAUUUCCCCAGAAGAAUGUCAGAGGUACUUUUGCCUGAGAAAAUAGGAAUAAAUGUUGAGGAAAGAUGUUCCCUAUAAGACCGAAGCCCAGGGUAGGAUGGUGAGCCUCCUGAGCUAUCAACGCCUUUGUGCUGCGGAGUUCCUACCUCAGGGGCUUUGGCUUCAGUUGUUACGGCUAUAGACCUGUCAAGACAGCCUACCUGACUAAGGUCAAGGGAGUACAAAACCGAGCAAUUUGGUGUUAGUUUGCCAACUCAAAAAUACAAAAUUCAGCUUCC